rnacentral:lncRNA from 13 species
AAGCCUUCCUGUUCACCUCUCCCAGCUGUCUCUCCUUAUUUCUGCUUUUAUUUAGUCCAAAAUUCCUGCUGUUUCUUAAAUGUGUGUUUGUACAUCAAAUAUUAACGUCCUUUGAAUUGUUUGGGUUUGCUUUUGUGUGCCAUAUUAAUGCUACUGUAAAACAUUCCAAUUUUAAACCUAAAGGCAAGACAUCAUUCCAGAAAUCUGUUAGUGAGCCUGAAUUUUUUAUUAUUUAAUAUUUUAAUAUUUUUCUAGCUUGCUUUUUCUCUCUCCCUUUUUGUUUGGUUGUUUUUUUUUUUUUUUUAAUACAGACAAGAUUCCAAAAAACUCAAGAGAGGAUCAAACUGCCCAAACUUCAAAACACAUGCAUUCAGAUAUGUGUACAAAUUCCACAAGACUGGGUCAUGAAAAAUCUCUUAUCAUCUCCUCCGAUGGACAGAUACAAGGGACAAAAAAACCUGCAAGUGCAAAUCAAAUAAAUAAUCAUCAAAAGAUGGGAGAUAAUGUUCCCAGGCCUCCACUGACUUGGACACAUAAAGUCGGAGAUGCGAGCUGUGAGCCCGGACCAGUGUCUCUGCCAUGCCAACUGUUUCAUGAUGCUGAAUGA